rfam:Eucalyptus grandis cultivar BRASTZ1 unplaced genomic scaffold scaffold_700, whole genome shotgun sequence.
GUCUCUUCAGGACGUCCAAUAGAAUUGGAACGAUACUGAGAAAAUUAACAUGAUCCAUGUGUAAGGAUGACAUGCACAAAUCGAGAAAUGGUCUAAAUUUAA